CGCUCAGGCGGGGCCACGGCAGCGUGUGCGGCGGAGAUGCCGGGAGCAGAGCGGAGCGGCCCCAGAGCGAGCUAGCGGGCGGGGGCGCGCUGGUAGGGGGAAGGGACUUCGAGAGGCUGCCCCCUCCCCCGCCGGUCCUGAGGAGACACCAGUCUCCCCGCUCCCUCUGCUGCCUGAUCCCCGCCCUAUCACGCGAGGAGCCGCUUUCAGUGCAGAGCUCGGGGCUCAGCUAAAGCGCGACGUCCCUGCCGUGACACCCCCUCACAAGCCACGGACUCCAGGAAGACAGAGUAAGGGAUGAACAUGCCAGUCCAGUCUGGUGGACAUAAUACCUCAGAAGGGGUGGACUGUGUUUUUGCCAGAGGACUAAAUUAAUAUGCUGGCAAAGGGGAUGGAGCAGGAGCUGACACAGUGGCUACACCUGAUGAUAGAAAGGUUGCAAUGUCCUGGUUUGUGUACAAGUGUAACACUGCCCUCUACUGGAUGGAAUAUGUCAGAUGUGCCUGCUUAUGUAAAACAGAUCCUUCUAUUGACUGAGCUAAAGUAGCACUGCUACUACUAAGCCAUCCAGUCUGUCUUGUGAGACAAUUCAGAGAGAACUACAGGAGUCUUGCAGUCAGAGAAAAAUCAAAAGAAAAAGGAUUAUUUGAUUUUCACCAUAUGGAGGUGUACCAUACAGAACUACCAGCUACACUUAUUCUAACUAGUAUCUAUUUCCUGUCCUUACUAGCUUGAUUAUAUAUUCAUACAAAUAUGGUUAGUAUAUAAUUGAUUUGAUGAGCCAAAUUCACCUGGUGAACUCAACUGACUGAGUCUAGUUACACAAGAGAUUAAUUUAGCCACUGAGUUUACACCAAACAACAACCUGCAAUUUAAACAGCAAAUUAUAGUAAAAUUAUUUGCAUAAGGAUUAUUUAUAACUCAUUUACUAGGAUGAAUAAUAGUAGCACACUGCUACUAUUUACAUGUUGAGCAUAACUGCAAGUUUUUAUUAGAAAAUGCCACUCAUCUAGAUCUUUCAUCAUUUGGCUACCUCCCUGACUUUAGCUUCUAAAUCAAUCUGUCACAUAUGAAAACCAACAAUAUCAAGCAGCAUUAUUGUUUUCUUAAAGGUUUAUUUUCUUGUCAUUCGAAAGUGACUCCUACCAUUGUAACAGAAAUUACGGAUACUGACUUCUUUCUACCAACAAUAUGACCAAAAAAAGACAGUUGCCUUCUUAGGGAUCCUUUAAGAAGUCAAAGCAAACUUAAAAUAUUAAUGAUAUAUUUCAGGACCUGAAAGAACUAAAAGUUGUAUAGAUACUGAAGUAAUGAUGGGAGAGAAGUGAGGAUUUGGCCAUUAUCACAAAACAUAAAUUCACUAUAAUCCAUUGGUGCUGUGUUACACACCAUUUGGAAACAUUAUUCA